rnacentral:pre_miRNA from 1 species
AGUGGAAUUGCUGGGUCAUAGGUUCAUUUAACUUUUUGAGGAACUGCCAGGCUGUUUGCCAUAGUGGUUGCACCAUUUUAAUUCCCACCAACAGU